rnacentral:rRNA from 1 species
AUGCCUAGGCUACCACGGAGCCGAACAACGAUGUUGUUCAGCCUGUCACCUAACACCAUCAAGGAGGAGGAGCGUGGCCGAAAGACGGCGGCCAGUCCGACCAUGUGCUCACUUCACCCCCUUCUCCCUUCCAAUUUUGGAUUUGAUCUGGACGCCGCCGUCGCCGUGGUUGCCUCGCCGUCGUGGCUCAGGUGCCCAUUGUGA